UACGCUGGCGGCAGGCCUAACACAUGCAAGUCGAGCGUUAGCACAGAGAGCUUGCUCUCGGGUGACGAGCGGCGGACGGGUGAGUAAUGUCUGGGAAACUGCCUGAUGGAGGGGGAUAACUACUGGAAACGGUAGCUAAUACCGCAUAAUGUCGCAAGACCAAAGUGGGGGACCUUCGGGCCUCAUGCCAUCAGAUGUGCCCAGAUGGGAUUAGCUAGUAGGUGGGGUAACGGCUCACCUAGGCGACGAUCCCUAGCUGGUCUGAGAGGAUGACCAGCCACACUGGAACUGAGACACGGUCCAGACUCCUACGGGAGGCAGCAGUGGGGAGUAUUGCACAAUGGGCGCAAGCCUGAUGCAGCCAUGCCGCGUGUGUGAAGAAGGCCUUCGGGUUGUAAAGCACUUUCAGCGGGGAGGAAGGCGGUGAGGUUAAUAACCUCACCGAUUGACGUUACCCGCAGAAGAAGCACCGGCUAACUCCGUGCCAGCAGCCGCGGUAAUACGGAGGGUGCAAGCGUUAAUCGGAAUUACUGGGCGUAAAGCGCACGCAGGCGGUCUGUCAAGUCGGAUGUGAAAUCCCCGGGCUCAACCUGGGAACUGCAUUCGAAACUGGCAGGCUAGAGUCUUGUAGAGGGGGGUAGAAUUCCAGGUGUAGCGGUGGAAAUGGGUAGAAAUUGGAGGGAAUACCGGGGGGGAAGGCGGCCCCCCGGGACAAAGACUGACGGUCAGGUGCGAAAGCGUGGGGAGCAAACAGGAUUAGAUACCCUGGUUAGUCCACGCCGUAAACGAUGUCGAUUUGGAGGUUGUGCCCUUGAGGCGUGGCUUCCGGAGCUAACGCGUUAAAUCGACCGCCUGGGGAGUACGGCCGCAAGGUUAAAACUCAAAUGAAUUGACGGGGGCCCGCACAAGCGGUGGAGCAUGUGGUUUAAUUCGAUGCAACGCGAAGAACCUUACCUGGUCUUGACAUCCACAGAACUUUCCAGAGAUGGAUUGGUGCCUUCGGGAACUGUGAGACAGGUGCUGCAUGGCUGUCGUCAGCUCGUGUUGUGAAAUGUUGGGUUAAGUCCCGCAACGAGCGCAACCCUUAUCCUUUGUUGCCAGCGGUUCGGCCGGGAACUCAAAGGAGACUGCCAGUGAUAAACUGGAGGAAGGUGGGGAUGACGUCAAGUCAUCAUGGCCCUUACGACCAGGGCUACACACGUGCUACAAUGGCAUAUACAAAGAGAAGCGACCUCGCGAGAGCAAGCGGACCUCAUAAAGUAUGUCGUAGUCCGGAUUGGAGUCUGCAACUCGACUCCAUGAAGUCGGAAUCGCUAGUAAUCGUAGAUCAGAAUGCUACGGUGAAUACGUUCCCGGGCCUUGUACACACCGCCCGUCACACCAUGGGAGUGGGUUGCAAAAGAAGUAGGUAGCUUAACCUUCGGGAGGGCGCUUACCACUUUGUGAUUCAUGACGGGG
rnacentral:rRNA from 1 species